rnacentral:lncRNA from 1 species
GACGGAGAGGACGGGAUUUGGCGACGGCGCUCCGGAAAAAAAAGGUCACCUGCCUCCUCUCUUACCCCAUGCCUCCAGCGCUUCGCCUCGCUUUGCACCGGCGGCGGCCCACCCCGCCGUCCACCUCGCAUUGCCUCGCGCCGGUGGCGGCUGGUGGCAGGUCGACCUCCACCGCCCCUCUGCCCUUGCCCCCGCCCCCCGCGUGCACCAUCUAGCACCACCAACCCCGCUGCUCCCUCCCCUCCCCCAUCCCGAUCUAGAAGCCUAACCCGCCCCUCUCUGAGCACAGCGUGCUCCGACGGCGGCUCCUCCUGGCCAGAUCGAGGCACGGAGACCUGUGGGAUCCCCUCCUUCGGCAGGACCUCCUCAUCUGGUGAGAUCCCCUCCCCAUGUCUGAUGCCUCAAACCGUUCGGCAAGCACCACCAAGAUUUUUUUACUGAGUAAUUAAUGUAUUGAAUGCAAGAUUGCAUUCUUGCACGGACAGAGAGUGGAACACCACCUUCAGUUUCUCAUCUGAUCCCACUUCUGGACUCCAUGAAUGAAGUAAGAUAACAAUCCAUUGGUCAAUUACAUUGCCUCUUUAGAUGGUUUUAAGUGGGCAUCAGACUUGGUUUAGAUGGCCUUUGUUGUGAAAGAAAACUUAUCUUUCUAAAGACUGUACUCUGAAUCUUACAUCUCAUACUUGAUUUUUUUUUUGCAUAUUUUUUUAGGCCUGGUGAGUAUCCAAUGACAUGGGAAAUUAAAGAUUUGCAUGAGACUGACGAUUGUGAUUUUGGCCCUGUACUGAAUAAUUUUGGGAGUGACUGGGUGAUGAUGAUUACAAGCCAGGUAACUGAAUGAGUCCUUCGGCCGCUGGCUAGCUAGUUGUUCUUAUCUUACCAUUAUAUGUCUUCCUCAGUAUUGAUUUGUGAAUUAUUUCUUUUUUCAAACUAUGCAGGCGGACUGCAUGUGAUGAGUUAAGGCACAAGAACUACGACCAUUUUAGCUCCAGCAGUAAGUACACAACCAAUCAACAAUGCAUUUUCACGACCCAGGCUUCUGAAUUUUGACUGACAGGCUCGCUGGCACAGCCACAUAAUCUCGCGCAUUCAAAUUGCUAGCUACACGAAAUACGCCCAGAUCUACGAGUAGAAAUCCAAG